rnacentral:rRNA from 1 species
UAUUACCGCGGCUGCUGGCACGAAGUUAGCCGGUGCUUAUUCUGUCGGUAACGUCAAAACAGCAAGGUAUUAACUUACUGCCCUUCCUCCCAACUUAAAGUGCUUUACAAUCCGAAGACCUUCUUCACACACGCGGCAUGGCUGGAUCAGGCUUUCGCCCAUUGUCCAAUAUUCCCCACUGCUGCCUCCCGUAGGA